GUUAGCGCAGUUGGUUAGAGCAUGGUGCUGAUAACGCCAAGGUCGCAGGUUUGAUCCCCAUAUGGGCCA